UGCCUGCCCGGUGAUAAGUAAUUAAACGGCUGCGGUACUCUGACCGUGCAAAGGUAGCAUAAUCAUUAGUCUGUUAAUUUCAGGCUGGAAUCAAAGGCAAGACGAAGAAUGAACUGUCUCUUUCUAUUAUUUUAGAAUUUUUCUUUUUGGUGAAGAGACCAAAAUAAAGAAGUGGGACGAGAAGACCCUAUUGAGUUUUAGUUACUUGAAAAGAUAUAAAUUUUUUGAAGUAACUUUGGUUGGGGCAACUGUUAUUAAAAUUAAAUAUUAAAAGAAUAAAGAGGAAUUGAAUCAUUAAUUUUAAACCCAGAAAUUAAUUUUGAAUCUAGAAAAAAUUACCUUAGGGAUAACAGCGUAAUUCUUUUUGAGAGUACAUAUUGACAAAGGAGUUUGCGACCUCGAUGUUGGAUCAAGUUUUCCUGAAGGUGCAGCAGCUUUCAAGGGUUGGUUUGUUCAACCAUAAAAAUCUU
rnacentral:rRNA from 1 species